rnacentral:lncRNA from 1 species
AGGCUGGUGAUGCUGGAGCCACGACCGGAAACCCCAAGGCAAAGACCAGAGAAUCCCAAAGAUGCAGACAGAGACCUCCUAGAGCUACAGAGUAAGCCAAAUUGGAGUUGCCUUUUCUGGACUUCUUGUUAAGUCUGAUGGGGUUCAUCACAUCUGAGCCAGGACUGGCUUUUCUUGGCUGCAAGCUGAGAGCUGGGUCCAGGUCUGCUGUACUGAGGGUCUCCCGUCUUCCUUGGACAGGGACAACCAGAGCCUAUUUAUCUCAUGAUGGAAGGCGGAGAACAAGCAGGCAAGACCAGCCGUGCUAGCACUUGCCACCUCUUUGCCCAUGUCACACCUGCUGACGUCCCAUUGGCCAAUACAAUUCACACAACCAAAGCCAACAUCAAUAGGACAAGGAAACAGACUCUGCCUCUAGAUG